CGUAUUCCCGACCUGCCGUCGUGUAGUACGAAUGGGGCGACAGGACGUCGCCCCAAGCCGAGGGGGCACAGGACGUGCCCUCCGAGGCGGUCUGUACGAAACAGGCAGGUCGGGAAUACG
rfam:Dethiosulfovibrio peptidovorans DSM 11002 ctg1, whole genome shotgun sequence.